rnacentral:lncRNA from 1 species
CACAAAGUGCCGAGUUGGUAACAGUAACAGUAACAGUAUUCGACACACAAAGUGCCGAAUCAGUAACAGUAACAGUAGUCGGCACAUAAGUGCCUAAUCAGUAAGCCGGCAAAUACCCCGUACUCUUCCAUAUCCUAUGGCAUGCCAACUAUAUCCGACUAGCCCGACUAGUUAAUAGGGUAUUUAAUUCACUUUCCAGUAUAAAUUUCCAUCUUAGUUCAGUAUCAAUUAUAAUUUCUUAUUUCAAUCAGUUUCACAGUAUUGCAGUAAUUCAUUAUUUCAGUAUUUUCACAGUUCAAUGCA